AGUGAACGCUGGCGGUAGGCCUAACACAUGCAAGUCGAACGGCAGCACAGUAAGAGCUUGCUCUUACGGGUGGCGAGUGGCGGGCGGGUGAGGCAUACAUCGGAAUCUACUUUUUCGUGGGGGAUAACGUAGGGCCACUUACGCUAAUACCGCAUACGACCUACGGGUGAAAGCAGGGGUUCUUCGGACCUUUCGCGAUUGAAUGAGCCGGUGUCGGAUUAGCUAGUUGGCGGGGUAAAGGCCCACCAAGGCGACGAUCCGUAGCUGGUCUGAGAGGAUGAUCAGCCACACUGGAACUGAGACACGGUCCAGACUCCUACGGGAGGCAGCAGUAGGGAAUAUUGGACAAUGGGCGCAAGCCUGAUCCAGCCAUACCGCGUGGGUGAAGAAGGCCUUCGGGUUGUAAAGCCCUUUUGUUGGGAAAGAAAAGCAGCAGGUUAAUACCCCGCUGUUCUGACGGUACCCAAAGAAUAAGCACCGGCUAACUUCGUG
rnacentral:rRNA from 1 species